rnacentral:rRNA from 1 species
UGCUCCAGUUGACCGCAUGGUCCUCUGGGAAAGAUUCAUCGGUAUGGGAUGGGGUCGCGUCCUAUCAGCUUGAUGGCGGGGUAACGGCCCACCAUGGCUUCGACGGGUAGCCGGCCUGAGAGGGCGACCGGCCACAUUGGGACUGAGAUACGGCCCAGACUCCUACGGGAGGCAGCAGUGGGGAAUAUUGCACAAUGGGCGCAAGCCUGAUGCAGCGACGCCGCGUGCGGGAUGACGGCCUUCGGGUUGUAAACCGCUUUCGCCUGUGACGAAGCGUGAGUGACGGUAAUGGGUAAAGAAGCACCGGCUAACUACGUGCCAGCAGCCGCGGUGAUACGUAGGGUGCGAGCGUUGUCCGGAUUUAUUGGGCGUAAAGGGCUCGUAGGUGGUUGAUCGCGUCGGAAGUGUAAUCUUGGGGCUUAACCCUGAGCGUGCUUUCGAUACGGGUUGACUUGAGGAAGGUAGGGGAGACUGGAAUUCCCGGUGUAACGGUGGAAUGUGUAGAUAUCGGGAAGAACACCAAUGGCGAAGGCAGGUCUCUGGGCCGUUACUGACGCUGAGGAGCGAAAGCGUGGGGAGCGAACAGGAUUAGAUACCCUGGUAGUCCACGCCGUAAACGGUGGAUGCUGGAUGUGGGGCCCGUUCCACGGUCUCCGUGUCGGAGCCAACGCGUUAAGCAUCCCGCCUGGGGAGUACGGCCGCAAGGCUAAAACUCAAAGAAAUUGACGGGGGCCCGCACAAGCGGCGGAGCAUGCGGAUUAAUUCGAUGCAACGCGAAGAACCUUACCUGGGCUUGACAUGUUCCCGACAGCCCCAGAGAUGGGGCCUCCCUUCGGGGCGGGUUCACAGGUGGUGCAUGGUCGUCGUCAGCUCGUGUCGUGAGAUGUUGGGUUAAGUCCCGCAACGAGCGCAACCCUUGUUCACUGUUGCCAGCACGUUAUGGUGGGGACUCAGUGGAGACCGCCGGGGUCAACUCGGAGGAAGGUGGGGAUGACGUCAAGUCAUCAUGCCCCUUAUGUCCAGGGCUUCACGCAUGCUACAAUGGCUGGUACAGAGAGUGGCGAGCCUGUGAGGGUGAGCGAAUCUCGGAAAGCCGGUCUCAGUUCGGAUUGGGGUCUGCAACUCGACCUCAUGAAGUCGGAGUCGCUAGUAAUCGCAGAUCAGCAACGC